GAGGAAUAUAGGGCGAUGGGCGGAAGCCUGACCCAGCCAUGCCGCGUGCAGGAAGACGGUCCUAUGGAUUGUAAACUGCUUUUAUACGGGAAGAAACACCCCCUCGUGAGGGGAUUUGACGGUACCGUAAGAAUAAGGAUCGGCUAACUCCGUGCCAGCAGCCGCGGUAAUAUGGAGGAUCCAAGCGUUAUCCGGAAUCAUUGGGUUUAAAGGGUCCGUAGGCGGCCUUAUAAGUCAGUGGUGAAAUCUCCUAGUUCAACUAGGAAACUGCCAUUGAUACUGUAGGGCUUGAAUUAUUGUGAAGUAACUAGAAUAUGUAGUGUAGCGGUGAAAUGCUUAGAUAUUACAUGGAAUACCAAUUGCGAAGGCAGGUUACUAACAAUAUAUUGACGCUGAUGGACGAAAGCGUGGGUAGCGAAC
rnacentral:rRNA from 1 species